rnacentral:lncRNA from 1 species
GUCUCUGCAUUUGUCCGCGUUCUUCACUGUCAUGUGGCUCCUCCCGAUGUGAUAGCAAAGAUGCCCGUGGACAAACCAGGCUUGGGUCCAUCAUGUUGGCAAUCUGGAGGAAGCCGAGCACUUUUUCUCCAACUGACUCAGUCCCAGGACUGGCUCUCAUUUGCCCAGCUUGUGCAGUGCUCAAUGUUACAGCUUCAAACAUAGAAGAUACAAGAAGUAAAUGCUGAGAUUUCGCUAUUUGUUAACCUAUCAUGUGAUGAACCUAUACAAAUUGUGUAAAGCAAAUGUUUUCAGGCAUUGGAUGUCAAGCAGCACAGGACUAUCAACCUGAAGGAAAGAGAAUCACACAAGAUGAGCCUCAUAUUUAUCCUGGCUUUCCGCUUCGGAGCACUCUCUCAACUUCAACACAGAGAAGUGAAACCCAAGUGAAAGAGUAUUGCUAAACCAAGGAGGCAGACCUCAUGUUUGUUCAAGAGUACCCAAGAGAUAGGAUCUGUAAGAGGCACACAG